UACGAAGGGGGCUAGCGUUGUUCGGAAUUACUGGGCGUAAAGCGCGCGCAGGCGGUUUUUCCAAGUCAGUGGUGAAAGCCCGGAGCUCAACUCCGGAACUGCCAUUGAAACUGUUAAACUUGAGGACGAGAGAGGUGAGUGGAAUUCCCAGUGUAGAGGUGAAAUUCGUAGAUAUUGGGAAGAACACCAGUGGCGAAGGCGGCUCUCUGGGACGGUACUGACGCUGAGACGCGAAAGCGUGGGGAGCGAACAGG
rnacentral:rRNA from 1 species